CCAGGAUUCCCCUAGUAACGGCGAGUGAAGCGGGAAGAGCUCAAAUUUGUAAUCUGGCGGUCUCCGGCCGUCCGAGUUGUAGUCUGGAGAAGCGUCUUCCGUGCCGGACCGUGUACAAGUCCCUUGGAACGGGGCGUCGUAGAGGGUGAGAACCCCGUCUUCGACACGGACUCCCGGCGCUCUGUGAUGCGCUCUCGAAGAGUCGAGUUGUUUGGGAAUGCAGCUCAAAACGGGUGGUAAAUUCCAUCUAAAGCUAAAUACGGGCGAAAGACCGAUAGCGAACAAGUACCGUGAGGGAAAGAUGAAAAGAACUUUGGAAAGAGAGUUAAACAGUACGUGAAAUUGUUGAAAGGGAAACGCUCGGAGUCAGUCGCGUCUGUCGGGGCUCAGCCGGUGUUGGGGGGUCAUUCGUGGUCCCCUCCCCGGUGCACUCCUCGACGUUUGACGGGUCAGCGUCGAUUUCGUCCGUCGGAGAAAGGCUUUGGGAACGUGGCACCCUCCGGGGUGUGUUAUAGCCCUCCGUCUUAUGCGACGGUCGGGAUYGAGGACCGCAGCGCGCCCUUCACCGGGCCGGGGUUCGCCCACGUAACGCGCUUAGGAUGCUGGCGUAAUGGCUUCGAGCGACCCGUCU
rnacentral:rRNA from 1 species